rnacentral:tRNA from 1 species
CCGCCGGUAGCGUAGUGGUUAUCGCACCAGACCGGUAUUCUGGAGGAAGGUCGUGGGUUCGGAUCCCACCUGGCGGG